rnacentral:rRNA from 1 species
GACAUAGGUGGCAAGCGUUAUUCGGAAUUACUAGGCGUAAAGCGAGUGUAGGCGGGCGCUUAAGUCCGACGUUAAAUCUCCAGGCUUAACUUGGAGCUGUCGUCGGAUACUGGGCGUCUCGAGAGAGGUAGGGGGCAGUGGAAUUCCCGGUGUAGCGGUGAAAUGCGUAGAUAUCUGGAGGAACACCGGUGGCGAAGGCGGCAUCCUGGACCACGACUGACGCUGAGUGAGCGAAAGCCAGGGGAGCAAACGGG